UUUUCAAAUUUUUUAGUUUUUUAACUAAAAUAGUUUGGCAGCGAGCAAAUCCUGUUAGGGGAAGGUGUGUUAUAAAGGAUGAUCCGCCUACUAAUUUGCUUUUAUUAUGUUGGUGUAUAUCUGGUUUGAUAUUAUUGCUUAGUAGCAUAAAUUUGUGAAUAUAUAUUUAAGCCAAGUCUAUGUGCUGCUUGUAAAAGUUUUCAUGCGUUACAUUUAUACUGUUUAUCAUGUAAAUAGAUAAAUUUUUAGGACUUAAAAGUAAUAUAGAAUUAACUUGUCUGUGUG
rnacentral:rRNA from 1 species